UCAUAAUGAUAAAUCGAUGUCGAUGAUAAAUUGAUGAUGAUGGCUCCGGUAUGUGUACCCUAGGAGUUGUAGCUAGCUAGCUAGGACCAUGUAUAUACAUACAUACAUAUAUUAGUGUUUUUUGUAACUUGUACGUACCUUACAUAGAGUAUGGAGUUUACUAAAACGGCAACGUUUGGUGGGGGUAGUGAAUUCGCAAGUGGGGAUGAGUCUAUGUAAUAGAAGAUGCAACAUGCAAAUGGUCCCCUUUCUGUUUUUAUUUAAAGAAAUGAGUGUUUACUGAGGAGGAAACAUCCCAUUUAUAGAUUCACACCCAUAAAAGCAAACCACUUCUCCUUCUUUUUAUUUCCCCAUGAUAUUACUUCGAGAAUAUUUUGAAAAUUUGAAGUGUACAUUUAGAGAUUGUGUACUUUGAACACUCAUGUCAAAUGCAUCUAAAUACAUAAACUCCAAUUUAAAAUAAUCGUCUAAACCUAGAGUGCCAUUUGUUUAGCCAUUUGUUGGUCUUCAUUUCUCAUGCUUU